UUAUAAUAUCUAUUCAGCUUUUUCACAGCCUUGCUUCCUUCACCAUUGAAUUCCUUCGCUGUACAACCAAUCGUGUUAGAAAUUCUGCUCCUGAUGAUUCAAAUCUAAUUCCAGCUUGCUCUCCCACAGCAAGCGAAAAAAGCCACAGCGGUCCAAUAAUUGGCCAUGCACGAGGUUGUUGGAGUGGCAAUAGUGCGUGACCAUACCCAAUGAGUGCCCUCCACUCUUCGCAUCUCUGCCAACUGUCAUAAUUAUCAAUAAAUAAAUUUUCCUGGAAUGUAACGCGGUGGAAGCAAGGAGUUCAUUAGUACAUUUGCGGCAGUAAUGUAAUGUGAUUAUGCUGUUUCGGACUGUGGUAUGUAUUGAAACAGAAAUGAUGCACUCACAGCCCAUCAUGAGAAAUGAAGCCGGAAUUUAUUAGCAUCAA